rnacentral:rRNA from 1 species
UACGUAGGGUGCGAGCGUUAAUCGGAAUUACUGGGCGUAAAGCGUGCGCAGGCGGUUUUGUAAGUCUGACGUGAAAUCCCCGGGCUCAACCUGGGAAUUGCGUUGGAGACUGCAAGGCUGGAGUCUGGCAGAGGGGGGUAGAAUUCCACGUGUAGCAGUGAAAUGCGUAGAGAGUGUGGAGGAACACCCGAUGGCGAAGGCAGCCCCCUGGGAUCAAGGACCUGG